rnacentral:lncRNA from 1 species
GGGGACGAGGCUGCGGCGCUCUGGGCCAAUCGCGUGCGAGGAGGUUUCCCUAUGCCCCGCCCCCGCGCUCCCAGUCCAUCCCAGUUCACCCAGUCUGAUCUCUCAGAGCUCAAUAAAUAAAAUUUUAUUGAUGGGGAAGGGGCGGGGCCACCUCGGCUCCUCCCACUUCCCCAGGCCUCAGUCCGGGAGGAAUUCACAGUAUUUUGGUUAAAAAAAACCCCAAAGUGCCCCAGGGGUUACUUGGGGCACCUGGACAGCCCUGAACGAGCACGGACAGCUGGCACAGGUGUGCACAGCCAUGGCCAGGUGUGCACUGGUGUGCACAGGUGUGUCUGCAGCCAUGGCCAGGUGUAUCAGGCUGUGUCCAGGUGUGUCUGCAGCCAUGGCCAGCUGUGUCCAGGUGUGUCCAGUUGUGUCUGCAGCCAUGACCAAGUGUGUCAGGCUGUGCCCAGGUGUGUCUGCAGCCAUAGCCGGGUGUGCACAGCCCCAUCAAGAUGUGCCCAGAUGUGCCCAGGUGUGUCUGCAGCCAUGUCCAGGUGUGCACAGCUAUUCCCAGCUGUGUCCAGCUGUGUCUGCAGCCAUGCCCAGGUGUGCACAGCUAUUCCCAGCUAUUCCCAGCUGUUCCCAGCUGUGUCCAGCUGUCCACCCAGCUGUGCCCAGGUGUGCACAGCUGUGUCUGCAGCCAUGUCCAGGUGUAUCCAGCUGCUCCCAGCUGUGCCCAGGUGUGUCCAGGUGCACACAGCUGCUCCCAGCUGUGCCUGCCCCCAGCCCUGCUCUCAGUCCUGCGGCUCCUGGGGGCCGCUCCCCCACCCCGGGGGGCUCUGGGGGGGUCUCGGCUCCCCCAAAUCCUCAGGGCUCGUCGUCCUCUGACGUCAGCGGCCGCUGGGGGAGGAAGCGGCGGGUCAGUGGGGGGGUCCCUGAACCCCCUCCUGCCCCAGAGCCCCAUCCCGGCUGUCCCCGGGCCCCCCACGCCCCCCCCUCACUCACCAGGGGGUCCCCGAGC